CUAAAAAUUUAGCCCCCGUCCCCACCCCUUACUUAUACUUAAACAAUAAAAUAUUCUUACAAUUUAGUAAAGAAGAUUAAAAAUUUUCUAAGAGCCAUAAAAAUGUACCGCAAGGGAAAACUGAAAUAAAAAUGAAAUAAACCUCAAGCACAAAAAACUAGAGAUCCACCCUCGUACCUUUUGCAUCAUGGUUUAGCCAGUCUAAUUAAGCAAAAAGACCUUAAGUUUAACUUCCCGAAACUAAGUGAGCUAUCUUAGGGCCGCUUAAUGAGCUAACCCAUCUAUGUUGAAAAAUAGUGGGAUGACCCUAAAAUAGAGGUGACAGACCUAACGAACCUAGUUAUAGCUGGUUUCUCAAGAAAAGAAUUUAAGUUCAACCUAAAGAAAACAAAUCUAAAAAAAUUUCACCUUUAGAGUAAUUCAAAUAAGGUACAGCCUAUUUGAAACAGGACACAACCUUCACUAACGGGUAAAAAUUACACCAAAUCCGCAAAGUAGGCUUAAAACCAGCCACCUUCCAAAAAGCGUCAAAGCUUACACAUCAAGUAAUACAUAAAUUCACAUUAACCCCUUUUUUCCUACUGAGAACUUCUAUAUAAUUAUAGAAAUUUUUAUGCUAAAACUAGUAACAAGAGAUUAACCCCUCUCUUACAUGUAAACUUAAGCCAACAAGAAUCCAUCAUUGGCAACUAACAGAACUAAACUUAUGUAGUAACAUCACUAGAAAAUCCUACUUCCCCCCCUGUUAACCUAACACAAGAACAUCACAAGAAAGAUUUAAAGAGAAAGAAGGAACUCGGCAAAAACUAAACCCGCCUGUUUACCAAAAACAUCACCUCUUGCAAUCAAUAAGAGGCCCAGCCUGCCCAGUGACUCUGUUCAACGGCCGCGGUAUCCUAACCGUGCUAAGGUAGCGUAAUCACUUGUUUUCUAAAUAAAGACUAGUAUGAAAGGCAUCACGAGGAUUAAGCUGUCUCCUUUCUCUAAUCAGUGAAACUAAUCUCCCCGUGAAGAAGCGGGGAUAACUUUAUAAGACGAGAAGACCCUAUGGAGCUUUAAACAUUAUUACAAUGCCUAUAAUAUUACAAAUACUAUGGUUCCUACCACCACCCGCACACUGAUUUUAUGUUUUCGGUUGGGGUGACCGCGGAGAACAAAUUAUCCUCCACGAUGAAAAGAAACUCUUCUUAAACUAUAAGCUACAGCUUUAAUUAUCAUUAAUUUGACAUAAAUUGACCCAAUAUUUUGACCAACGAACCAAGUUACCCUAGGGAUAACAGCGCAAUCCACUUCAAGAGUCCUUAUCGACAAGUGGGCUUACGACCUCGAUGUUGGAUCAGGGUAUCCCAGUGGUGCAGCAGCUACUAAAGGUUCGUUUGUUCAACGAUUAAAACCCCACGUGAUCUGAGUUCAGACCGGAGUAAUCCAGGUCAGUUUCUAUCUAUAAAAAGCUAUUUUUAGUACGAAAGGACCAAAAUAGCAUGGCCUAUGCUCUACGUAAGCCAUAAUUAUUUACUCUUGUUAACCUAACUUAAAAAGUAACCAACUUUCAACUUCCCCCUAAAAGAAAGG
rnacentral:rRNA from 1 species